UUGCUGUCACGAACAUUGCGUCGGUUGGAUCGAGUCGUACCAUAGGCGAAGUAUUGCUGAAGUGUGGCUCUGCUGGGUCGAGGCCUUAAAGACAACCUGUUACCCUGAUCGGUUGGGAUUCGAUCGGCCAUCUUCGUAUGUCUCCGGAGUGUCGACGGACCACGUGUCUGCGAAGAGAUGAAGGAUACGAGUUCGGGAUCGUUCGGGUUACGCACGAACGAACGAACGAACGAACGAACGAACGAACGAACGAACGAACGAAAGAACGAACGAAAGAAAGAACGAAAGAACGAAAGAACGAAAGAACGAAAGAACGAAGUAUGAUCAUACUCACCAUUACCCAGGUGUCAUCACCAUUGUCUAAAAAUCCAUGUAUAAUGAAGUAAAAAGUGUUUUCUAAUCGAAACGGUGCACUCUUGAUCGUAUCGAAAUGAUCGAUCUUCAAUUCGUGCGGUUGAUCUAUGUAGUCACGUGUGUAUAGUAAAUAAUGUGGAUUGAUACUAUCUGGUCGAGCUGGAAACAUCGAAACUGGACGAUUUUCGCCUGACCAUGGUGCACCGAUGUAGAAACAUCCAUAGGGUUCGUAACAUCUCCACAUGUACCAUUCUAAACAGAUAAAUAAAUGAACAAACAUAAAUAUAAUUAAGAUGAUCGAAAUGAUAUAAAAAC